AAGAGCAUACAACAUUUACUACUUACAAUCACAGAAUCUAUAUUUUGUGACAACCAAUGAGAACAAUAUGUUAAUUUGUAACCUCAAAGACAUUAGUACUGCGUGAAGCACCACCCAAUACUAUUAAACACCAGCAACUCUACUACCAACAGACAGGGUCAAGAUGAUUGUGUUAUUGGUGACAUUGCUUCUUCUUCAUCGGGGCUACACUGUUGUACCAUUGAUGCCGGUUCAGGCCGGAGAAUCUGUGACCUUCCAAUGUGCUCUGCC